rnacentral:rRNA from 1 species
AGAGUUUGAUCCUGGCUCAGAGUGAACGCUGGCGGCAGGCCUAACACAUGCAAGUCGAACGGCAGCGGGUCAGUAGCAAUACUGAUGCCGGCGAGUGGCGGACGGGUGAGGAAUACAUCGGAAUCUACCUUGUCGUGGGGGAUGACGUAGGGAAACUUACGCUAAUACCGCAUACGAACUACGGUUGAAAGCGGCGGACUCGCAAGAGCGUCGCGCGAUUGGAUGAGCCGAUGUCCGAUUAGCUAGUUGGCGGGGUAAAGGCCCACCAAGGCGACGAUCGGGUAGCUGGUCUGAGAGGAUGAUCAGCCACCACUGGGAACUGAAACCACGGUCCAGACUUCCUACGGGGAGGCAGGCAGUGGGGAAUAAUUGGGACAAAUGGGGCGGCAGCCCUGGAUUCCAGCCCAUGGCGCGUGUGUUGAAAAAAAGGCCUUCGGGUUGUAAAACACUUUUUGUUGGGGGAAAAAAAAAAACCGGUUAAUAACCCCGGGUUUCUGACGGUACCCCAAGAAUAAGCACCCGGGUAAUUUUCUGGCCAGCAGCCGCCGGUAAUACGAAGGGUGCAAGCGUUACUCCGAAUUACUGGGCGUAAAGCGUGGGGUGGUGGUGAGUUAAGUCUGUCGUGAAAAACCGGGCUCCAACUGGGAAUGGCGAUGGAUAUAGGCUCGCUCUAGAUCGCGUGUAAGAGGAGAGGUGGAAUUCUCCGCGUUGCAGUGAAUUAUAGUGCAGAGAUUCGGAGGACAUCCUACGUUGUGAAUGAGGAUCUCGCCACUGGACUUGAGCGAGACGCUGGGACCAGCAGAAUAGAUCCUUGUACUCCACGCUCUAACGUGAAAUGCACGUGGGACAAUCGGUUCUAGUUGAAGCUAACGCGUUUAUUCCCCCUGGGGAUUACGUCGCAAGAUUAAACUUAAAAGAUUGGAGGGGGCCCGCACAGGCGGGGGAGUAUGUGGUUUAUUUGGAUGAAACGCGCAGAACCUUACCUGGCUUUGACAUCCAGGGAUUCUUUAAGAGAUCAGGGAGUCCCUUUCGGGACCCGUGAGCCAGUUGCUCCAUGGCUUUCUUAAGCUCGGUUCGGGAGAUGUUGGGUUAAGUCCCGCAACGAGCCCAACCCUUUUCUUAAGUUGCCCGCCGCGUAAUGGGCGGGGAAUUUUAGGGAGAUUGCCCGGUGACAAACCCGGAGGAAGGGUGGGGGAUGACGUCAAGUCAUCAUGGCCCUUACGGCCCAGGGCUACACACGUACUACAAUGGUGGGGACAGAGGGUCGCCAAGGCGCGAGCCGGAGCCAAUCCCAGAAACCCCAUCCUAGUCCGGAUCGCAGUCUGCAACUCGACUGCGUGAAGUCGGAAUCGCUAGUAAUCGCGGAUCAGCAUUGCCGCGGUGAAUACGUUCCCGGGCCUUGUACACACCGCCCGUCACACCAUGGGAGUUUGUUGCACCAGAAGCAGGUAGCUUAACCGCAAGGGGAGCGCUUGCCACGGUGUGGCCGAUGACUGGGGUGAAGUCGUAACAAGGUAACC